AAGGGGACACAGGAUGAAUGCGAACUAGUUUUGUUAUUGUACUUUUGAUGAAAAGUGACUUUCUAGACAUAAAAUGUCACUUUUUUCACCUUAUCAUACUUUUUCAUCAACUUUUGCAUUUUAAUGUAAACAAUCAUAUUUCCUAAUAUUUUGGGUCAGAAACAUUUCAUAGUACUACAUUAUGUCUAAAUAUGUGAAAAGAAUCAAAUUGGAGUAAGUCGGGCAACUGAUUAUAUGAGUUUGUUAGAAACACCACUUUCCUUUGCUCCUAGCGCCUUCUCGUUCGCUGUAUAGCGUUUUGAGCGGAUAAAGAGCACAGGUGUGUAAGGGGACACAGGAUGAAUGGGAACUAGUUUUGUUAUUGUACUUUUGAUGAAAAGUGACUUUCUAGACAUAAAAUGUCACUUUUUUCACCUUAUCAUACUUUUUCAUCAACUUUUGCAUUUUAAUGUAAACAAUCAUAUUUCCUAAUAUUUUGGGUCAGAAACAUUUCAUAGUACUAUAUUAUGUCUAAAUAUGUGAAAAGAAUCAAAUUGGAGUAGGUCGGGCAACUGAUUAUAUGAGUUUGUUAGAAAAACCACUUUCCUUUGCUCCUAGCGCCUUCUCGUUCGCUGUAUAGCGUUUUGAGCGGAUAAAGAGCACAAGUGUGUAUGGGGACACAGGAUGAAUGGGAACUAGUUUUGUUAUUGUACUUUUGAUGAAAAGUGACUUUCUAGACAUAAAAUGUCACUUUUUUCACCUUAUCGUACUUUUUCAUCAACUUUUGCAUUUUAAUGUAAACAAUCAUAUUUCGUAAUAUUUUGGUUCAGAAACAUUUCAUAGUACUAUA